AUUGCACAAUGGGGGGAACCCUGAUGCAGCGACGCCGUGUGAGCGAUGAAGUAUUUCGGUAUGUAAAGCUCUAUCAGCAGGGAAGAAAAUGACGGUACCUGACUAAGAAGCCCCCGCUAACUACGUUCCAGCAACCGCGGUAAUACGUAGGGGGCAAGCGUUAUCCGGAUUUACUGGGUGGAAAGGGAGCGUAGACGGCAGUGCAAGUCUGAAGUGAAAGGCAAGGGCUCAACCCUUGGACUGCUUUGGAAACUGUGCUGCUGGAGUGUCGGAGAGGCAAAUGGAAUUCCUAGUGUAGCGGUGAAAUGCGUAGAUAUUAGGAGGAACACCAGUGGCGAAGGCGGCUUGCUGGACGAUGACUGACGUUGAGGCUCGAAAGCGUGGGGAGCAAACAG
rnacentral:rRNA from 1 species